rnacentral:rRNA from 1 species
GUUAGGAAUAUUGGACAAUGGGCGCAAGCCUGAUCCAGCCAUGCCGCGUGAGUGAUGAAGGCCUUCGGGUUGUAAAGCUCUUUAGUCCACGAAUAUAAUGACUGUAGUGGAAGAAUAAGCCCCGGCUAACUUCGAGCCAGCAGCCGCGGUAAUACGAAGGGGGCGAGCGUUAUUCGGAAUCACUGGGCGUAAAGCGUGCGUAGGCUGUUUUGUAAGUAAGAAGUGAAAGCCCAGGGCUUAACCCUGGAAUUGCUUUUGAAACUACAAGACUCGAAUUCGGGAGAGGAUAGCGGAAUUGUCAGUGUAGCAGUGAAAUGCGUAGAUAUUGACAGGAACACCAGUGGCGCAAGCGGCUAUCUGGACCGAUAUUGACGCUGAGGCACGAAAGCGUGGGGAGCAAACAGGAUUAGAUACCCCUGUAGUCC